UACGAAGGGGGCUAGCGUUGCUCGGAAUCACUGGGCGUAAAGGGUGCGUAGGCGGGUCUUUUAAGUCAGGGGUGAAAUCCUGGAGCUCAACUCCAGAACUGCCUUUGAUACUGAAGAUCUUGAGUUCGGGAGAGGUGAGUGGAACUGCGAGUGUAGAGGUGAAAUUCGUAGAUAUUCGCAAGAACACCAGUGGCGAAGGCGGCUCACUGGCCCGAUACUGACGCUG
rnacentral:rRNA from 1 species